ACAGUUUCAUAUUUAAUAGACAAAGACAACAUAAAUACAUAAAUCAUAUCGCGGUAUCUCCAGGGCAAAAAUAUCAAUUUAGAAUUUCAAUACACUUUCGAACUUCCCCUUUUUGGACAAACAAUGCGGUGAAAAAUACCCAUACAAGUUAACCAUUUCAAAGAAGCGUUUGGUCUUAGUGCUAUCUAAUUGAAUAAAAUAAAAUGAUACUAGAAUUUGAAGUGUCCGUUUACUUAAAAUAUUGAGAGCUGUACACUAUUCGUUUUUAACUAAAUUAUAAUCCAAUCAAUCAAGUUGUGACGUCAACCUUCCGAGACAAAAUAAUUAUACCACUGGUUCCCACCGACUUUGUUAGACUAGAACAUGAAUCUCAUUAUUCUAUGACUAGGGAACAAAAAUCGAUCCAGUAAAAAAAAAACCAUCGCAUUUUCCGUUUAGUUUUCAAUCCAACCAGAGCAAUGUUUGAAAAACGUUUUUCAAUAAAAUUGACCAGUUCAAGAUCCAAAACCAAAACAUGCGAUAAUACAAAAUUCUAUUUCAGAGUAAUUAGGCACGAACAAUCCCGUAGAUUGACGACCGUUACUCCAAAAUAUCCCUCGGAUUAACCCUCUGUCUAAAUAUCGCUAUCAAAAUGAAACCCAUCUCUUUAUAAACCCGAAAUCAUAAAAUAUCAAGCUAGUGUACAAUUCCCUCUAUUUAUUCUGGAACGGAAACGUAAAUUUAACAUUUUAGAACUGUUUGACUACGAGACCGAAAAGAAAAUAUCAAAUGUAAAGAAAUAAAUAUUUAAGUCAAACAUCGAAAUACAAAAUAAAUUGAAAUUUAAAGUACAACUUACCAGUACGAAAGUUUUCCCCAAUCUAAAGAAAUACUGCCCUGACGAGGUUUAAAUAUCCAAGUCUGGACAUUGAGUUCAAGCACGAGAUAAACGAUCCCGCGAAAAAGUGACCGGACAACUAUAGUUAUAUAUAGUAUCUAAAAAUAGAAAAAGGGGAAUUUACGAUGACCCACAAACGUUACAAUA
rnacentral:lncRNA from 1 species